rnacentral:rRNA from 1 species
AGCGGACACAGGUGGUGCAUGGUUGUCGUCAGCUCGUGUCGUGAGAUGUUGGGUUAAGUCCCGCAGCGAGCGCAACCCUUGUCUUUAGUUGCCAUCAUUAAGUUGGGCACUCUAAAGAGACUGCCGAUGACAAACCGGGAGGAAGGUGGGGAUGACGUCAAGUCCUCAUGGCCCUUAUGGGUAGGGCUUCACACGUCAUACAAUGGUCGGUACAGAGGGUUGCCAACCCGGCGAGGGGGAGCUAAUCCCACAAAGCCGAUCGUAGUCCGGAUCGCAGUCUGCAACUCGACUGCGUGAAGUCGGAAUCGCUAGUAAUCGUGGAUCAGCAUGUCACGGUGAAUACGUUCCCGGGUCUU